GUUUUGCCAAAAUGAUUUGUGAGAUGUAUGAUAUUUAAUCAUGUAAACAAAGUUCAAAGCGAUUAAGGUAUUUUGUUUCAUUUCUUUAAAGUGUUUUAUACACCGUCUGUACUAGCCACUAUUUAGCUUACAAAUAGACCGACUACGAAUAACCCACGUUUAGCCCAGAAAUAACCAUUAAUUUAAUUACAUGUGGUUUUUGCCAAAAUAACUUGUGAGAUGUAUGGUAUUUCAUUGUAAGCAAAGUUAACAGCGAUUACAAGGUUUGUUUAAUUUCUUUAAAGUGUUUUAUGCACCGUCGUACAUAGCCACUAUUUAGCUCAUAAAUAGACCGACUACGAACAAACCAUGUUUAGCCCAAAAUAACCUUGAAUUUAAUAAAAUUUUGUUUUUGCCAAAAUAACUUGCAAGAAUUAUGAUAUUUUAUCAGGCAUGCAAAUACACCAGUGAAAUUAAGAUGUUUGGUUUUAUUUAUCUUAUCUGAAUAUCUGCUGUCACGCAUAACAUUCAUUUUAUUUGACCGUAUUUCAAAGAUAAACAAAAUCCAGUUACAACUCCGAACCGCUAGAUGGCAGCAGUACACAAACACGGGGCCAAAUCUCACGAGAAAGAUUUCCGCUGUUUGAAAAGCAACAACAUCAGCGAGCAGCCACGAGGAAAGCAUGUACCACACUCGUUUGGUCUUGUGUCAAAGCUGUGCGAAACUGGAGGGAGAAACUUGAGAGACCGUGCCGGAAGAAUGCUGGACAGAGUUCACUAAAAUUCAUUAAUUUCAAAGUUCAACAUGAAUAGUGGUGGUCCACUGCAGAAGCAAGCAUUUGAAAAAACAUCAGUUCUCAGUUAUUAAAGAUGCUGUGUUGAACAACUUCCCAGCAGCAACAGAACUGGAAGUGAAGGAUGCAAUGGGGGCAUUUCAAACAGGCACCAGGGAGCACGGGGGGGGGGGGGGUAUAGAAAUUAGUACAAUUAAUAAGUUGACGUGAACUGAAGAUAGUUUGUUAAUGUUUAGAUGUUAUUUAAUUUUUAAAAUUGUAUUUUGUUAUAUAUGCUUUUAUUUUGUUACUGUUUUUAUUCUUUUUGUUAAAAGUAGUUUUUCUUCAUUUUGUCUUAUCUGAAUUUCUAUUGUAUUAACAAUAUUUUUUGUAAUAAAUUGCAUGUUUAUGAGAACCUUUUUUAAUGGAUUAAAAAUAAUUCUUUAGCCAUUCUUUUGUUCUUUAUUAGACACACACGUGUAGUUGUUUAAUAGCCGUCUAUUUAACGGCUAGUCUAUUCUUGGGCUAUGAUAGACGUCUACUAGAUUUUCACUGACAGCCCAAAAUUAGCCUUGUUUUAGCCUAGACCCACAUUCACCGUUUAUUAGACGUAUAUAUGUAGACGUUUAAUAGCCGUCUAUUUGAUGACUAGUCUAUUUCUUGGGCUAUGAUAGACGUCUACUAGAUUUUCACUGACAGCCCAAAAUUAGCCUUGUUUUAGCCUAGACGUCAGGGGGGUGUUUAGACGGCUACUAGACGUCUAUUAGCCGCAAAAUUGC